rnacentral:rRNA from 1 species
CCUACGGGAGGCAGCAGUGGGGAAUUUUGGACAAUGGGCGAAAGCCUGAUCCAGCAAUGCCGCGUGAGUGAAGAAGGCCUUCGGGUUGUAAAGCUCCUUUGUCAGGGAAGAAACGGUGAGGGCUAAUAUCUCUUGCUAAUGACGGUACCUGAAGAAUAAGCACCGGCUAACUACGUGCCAGCAGCCGCGGUAAUACGUAGGGUGCAAGCGUUAAUCGGAAUUACUGGACGUAAAGCGUGCGCAGGCGGUUUUGUAAGUCUGUCGUGAAAUCCCCGGGCUCAACCUGGGAAUUGCGAUGGAGACUGCAAGGCUAGAAUCUGGCAGAGGGGGGUAGAAUUCCACGUGUAGCAGUGAAAUGCGUAGAGAUGUGGAGGAACACCGAUGGCGAAGGCAGCCCCCUGGGUCAAGAUUGACGCUCAUGCACGAAAGCGUGGGGAGCAAACAGGAUUAGAUACCCUGGUAGUCCACGCCCUAAACGAUGUCUACUAGUUGUCGGGUUUUAAUAACUUGGUAACGCAGCUAACGCGUGAAGUAGACCGCCUGGGGGAGGUACGGUCGUCGAGAGUUAAAUUAAAUAGUUAGUUAGUAGNGNGNGAGNGCGAGACGACGACGAGGAGAGG